UCAAUAAGCGGAGGAAAAGAAACUAACUAGGAUGCCUUCAGUAGCGGCGAGCGAAGCAGGCAUAGCUCAAAUUUGUAAUCUGGCUGUUUUACAGUCCGAGUUGUAAUUUCUAGAGGCGAGUUCGGUGGCAGUCCUGGUUCAAGUCCGCUGGAACGCGGCGUCAUGGAGGGUGAGAAUCCCGUGAAUGAUCAGGUGUCUGUUGCUAUGUGAACCGUUUUCGAAGAGUCGAGUUGUUUGGGAAUGCAGCUCUAAAUGGGAGGUAAAUUUCUUCUAAAGCUAAAUAUUGGCCAGAGACCGAUAGCGAACAAGUAGAGUGAUCGAAAGAUGAAAAGAACUUUGAAAAGAGAGUUAAACAGUACGUGAAAUUGUUGAAAGGGAAGCGCUUGAGAUCAGACUUCCUGCGCAGACUAUCCUUGCUUCUGCUUGGAUCAAUAGUCUGUGCGUGGAGGCCAGCAUCAGUUUUGACGGCCGGAUAAAGGUUUGGGGAAGGUGGCUCACCUCGGUGAGUGUUAUAGCCCCAGAUGCAAUACGGCCAGUUGGGACUGAGGACCGCGGCUUUGCCUAGGAUGCUGG
rnacentral:rRNA from 1 species